rnacentral:rRNA from 1 species
UACGGAGGGUGCGAGCGUUGUCCGGAAUCAUUGGGCGUAAAGGGCGCGUAGGUGGCCCGGUCAGUUCGUGGUGAAAGCGCGGGGCUCAACCCUGCGUCGGCCAUGAUACUGCCGCGGCUGGAGCACUGUAGAGGCAGGCGGAAUUCCGGGUGUAGCGGUGGAAUGCGUAGAGAUCCGGAAGAACACCGGUGGCGAAGGCGGCCUGCUGGGCAGUUUAGCUGGACACUGAGGCGCGACAGCGUGGGGAGCAAACAGG